UGUGCAGCUACAGGGUAAACACCUCUUUACUCUUUCUCAUCGGCUCCCCUUCCGAGCUCUAAAGCUCUCCUGAUUCGCGACUCUCAUGUCGUCUUCCAUCUCUCAAUCUCCCUCGCGAUUCUCGUCCGACGGCUUCGCUCCUUCAUCCUCCUUCCCUCCCGCCUCUCUCCGUCGGCGAUUCAACAAUCUCACCCUCCCCGCUUCGCUUCUCCUCUCGCCCUCACGCAGCGCCCCCAAGGUGCUCGCCGCUUUGCCUCACGGAACCGUCCCUACCUCGACCAGCAGCGAUCGCUCCAACGGUUUCGUCACCGGGGAGGAGCCUUCUCCCGAGUCGUUCAAUCGCUCCAUCCGCGACUGCUGCCGAGCUGGAGACGUCGACGGGGCCAUGAGCUCGCUUUCCCGAAUGGAGGCGCUGGGGUGUAGGCCCAGCUUCGCGUCUUACGCUUGUUUGAUGGAGACUCUCGGGAACUGCGGUCGGACCUUGGAAGCAGAGUCUUUGCUUCUAGAGAUGCUGAGCCUGGGGUUUCGGCCCGGCGCGAGGUUGUUCAAUAUUCUCCUUCGAGGGUUCUUGAGGAAAGGGUCGUUAGGGCUCGCUAACAUAGUCUUAGCCGCCAUGGAGGACUUGAACGUCCGGAGAGAUCGUGAGAGUUAUGAGAUUCUUUUGGGUUAUUACGUUAAUGCGGGGCGUCUGGAGGAUACUUGGUCUCUUGUUAAUGAGAUGAGGCUUAGAGGUUUCCAGCUGUCUUCUUUUAUUUAUGGGAAGGUCAUUGGUCUUUACCGGGACAACGGGAUGUGGAAGAAGGGGAUGGGCAUCGUUAGAGAGAUAAGGGAGAUGGGAAUGGUGCUCGAUAAGCAUAUUUAUAAUGCUGUUAUCGAUACUUUUGGUAAGCAUGGAGAAUUGGGUGAGGCUCUGGAGGUUUUCGAAAGGAUGAAACAGGAGGGCGUGAGACCAGAUGUCAUGACUUGGAAUUCUUUGAUCAGGUGGCAUUGUAAGGCUGGUGAUCUCUCCAGUGCUCUCGAGUUGUUCAGUGAGAUGCAAGAACAGGGGUUGUACCCUGAUCCCAAGAUUUUCAGUACCUUAAUUAGCCGGCUAGCUGAGGAAGGGAAGUGGGACUUGUUAGAGAAAAAUUUUGAGAGUAUGAGGUGCAGGGGAUAUGGAGAAAGCGGGACUAUAUAUGCAGUACUGGUUGAUAUAUUUGGGCACUAUGGGAAAUAUCGGGAUGCUGAAGAAUGUGUUUCUGCUCUCAAGUCUGAAGGUCUACAGCUUUCAGCUAGUUUGUGCUGUGUGUUAGCAAAUGCUUAUGCUCAACAGGGACUAUGUGAAGAUACGGUUAAAGUGCUUCAGCUUAUGGAAGCAGAAGGAAUUGAACCAAAUGUUGUAAUGCUAAAUGUGUUGAUUAAUGCGUUCAGUGUUGCUGGAAGACACAUGGAGGCUCUUUCUAUUUACCACCUUAUGAAAGAAAGUGGUAUCUUUCCUGACGUGGUUACCUAUUCUACGCUUAUGAAGGCAUAUAUCAGAGCUCGGAAAUUUGACAAGCUGGAGUGUCUACUGAGGGAUAAUAGCCUUCUUGUUAUGGUGUCUCGUCAUCUUCUAUCUUGGUGCAUUUAGGUUCCUGCGAUAUACAAGGAAAUGGAGGCCAGCGGAUGCUCUCCAGAUCGGAAGGCCAGAGUUAUGUUAGAAACUGCGUUGAUGGAACUCAAACAGAAGCACUGACUUAUAUUUGUGUGAAGAUAAAUGAUGUUUUUGCCUAAUGCUUUGAUGUCUGAUCUCUCUGGAAACAUGACUGCGAGCGAAAUUAUUGAAGCCUAAUACAUGCCUGAUCCAGGUCAGAGAGAAUGUCUAAGGGCAUGCAUUCCAUAAUUGGCACUUGGCAGUAGUGCCUUUCUCAGCGAAAUAGUAUUUGGGUCACUGCUGUUUGGGUCUGGAUGGAGCAUUGCAGUUCCCUAUGUGCACAUAUUGCUCAAUGGGCUGAGAAGAAAUUGAAGUGAAUCAACUUGAAGAAUGUUGGAUCAGAUGUUCUAUAUGGGGGAAGUGGUUGCAGGGAGGAAUGAUAUGGGUGCACUCAUGAAAAUGUAUUCAGCUGGUCAUGGUCUCUGACAGCACUGUCAUUUGAAGGGUCACAUUGACAGCAUCCAAUAUCAUGACCAGGAAGUAGCUACUGGGUCAACUUAAUUUGACCUUACUCUGUACAGUACUGCUGUAGAUAAUUUUAAUUGACGCAAUCUUCUGCAACCAGGAAGGCAAUCCCAACUUGCGAGAUUAUUGAUCUCGAGACAGUUGCGAUGAAAGUGUCUUUCGAGUGAAAUUGCAAGCUGGAAGAUGUUGAAAGGCUAAUCAGAAAUAGAAAGACUCAGCAAUAGUCAUGGCUUCUCCAUCUCCUCUCAACCAAUCAUCGGUAUCAUCACCUAUAACAAGAGACUGAAACAAGGAAGAAGGCACGGCCUUAAAUUUCAAGACGUGAAGACUUCAUCAGGUGGAAAAUUUCAUGACAAUGCCCAUACCUUGUUUGUGUGACCUGAUUAACAACGAUAGACAAAUUAGCAUUGGGCUAUCUGAAUGAUAGUGAACUUUGUUGAGUCUAACGAGGUCGUGCACGCAGCGAGAGUGUUUCCUUAUUCCAGUCUGUUAGCGAUGCUUAGUCUCUCUGGAGCUUGUUUGUGAAAAUAUUGCUAAUCUAGUUUGCAUUACUUGUCUUUAGGAGGUGAUCAUAGAUUCAUUUUUAUGAUCUUUUGGACUAGUUUCCCUGCUUCUGCUUCAUUCACGGUAAAUGAUGCUGGACUGUCAUGA